CCCUGUUUUCCCUCCUUCAAAGGAGCUACCAGAAGCCAGGGACUCCUUCUUAGGCUAUAAUUAACAUUCUUUCUGGCUGUUCUCAUGACCGAGGCUAAGGGCUCCAGGGAAAUCAAGAGAACAAGUCUGCACCUCAUUUAAAAAAAAAAGAGAAGUGGGGAUCUGAAAUCUGGACUAACUUCAUUCAAUUCAAACAAAGGGAGACCUCAAAGCUGUGUACCUGGUCUUACCCACCAUCCUCCUGUGGCUCAAUGCUCUCUGUUUUUGGAAGACAGGAUAGGUGG